CGAAUUUAUCCUCAUCUUCUUCAAUUAAACACGAUAUCUACUUCUUCCCUCUCCUACACAUGUUGUUCACUUUCAAUACCUUCCUCUCUCAUCAAAUCCAAAAGAACCGCCACAAGGAUCACGCCGAAUCUCGAUUACAAGAUCCGACAAUGGAGUCAGUACAAACGAAAGUGGGAUUCGUGGAUAGGAGGCCACUCAGGCCAGCAGGUAAAGUUCUAAAGGUGUCAUGGGGCUCGCCGAGAUGGCCCGCAAAUCUGGUUCACGAGCGGGUAGCUUCUCUGAUCCAACUCCCUCCGAAUGACGCAGUUGAAGCUCUGUCGCCGUGGCUAUCGCCUCCGUCAGAUCAUCUUCUUCGCAGAGCAGGGGUCAGGCUCUGAUCAGGAUCACAAAGGUCCCCGUCAGGAUGAAGGUGCUGGGCUAAAGAGAGAGAGAGUGAUCAACGAGCGAAGUGGGGAAAGAACACAUGAUUUUUUUUAUUAUUAUUAUUAAUUCUCCAAAUUGCACAUAUCCUAUGAUGAUCUAUCCCACUCCCAAAAAAAAAAAAGUAUCCGAAGUUUUAUCUAAACCAUCAAAUGCAGC
rnacentral:lncRNA from 1 species